rnacentral:lncRNA from 1 species
ACUCAGCAGUACUUUUUUUCCCUUUCAGAUUCCUCCCAGCAUUACUUCUCAGGAAUAAGUGAGACGCCUGGGCUUGAGGUCACUGUUCAAGGUCAGUUCCUCUGGUGAUUGAUUUCAGUUGCUUGGGCAUUUAUAUAUCCAAAAUGUAUUUUCCAUAACCUACAUUUCUUGGCACUGAAUGAAGAGAAUUGUGUGCCAGUUUUCAGUGUACUUUGGAUUGUGCACUGCUUGGUAAACUAACCUGCUGGAGAAGUAUUGGAAAACCACAAUAUACUGAAGCAUAUUGGACUUAGUUGGCUGUUGUGUGGUUGUUUUAGCAUCGUGCAAUGUCCAGCCAUGUUUCAGAAGACAAUGUUGUCUUCCUUGGGAAGUACAGAUGCAGCUUUGUUUUUUUGCUCUCUUGUGCUUUGCACAAGCCUAUUUGAAGGAACAAGUUGUUCCUUCACAAGUAAGAAGAGGAGCUUUCUGAAUUUUCUCAGGUUAACUAAUUUGUUGCUAAAUUUGGUGUGAGGAUAAGCACAGAUCCUUAUUUCUGUUCGCGUUUUGAAAUUCUCAGCAGUUCCGGUGCUGCACAUGUGUUCCCUGGAUAAGAAAGCAAUUUGAUUUUUUUGUUUCUUUCUUAAAGCUGAUAAUGAUGAUGACGAUGACAACCUACCCCAGGACAUGACAAUAAAUAUGACCUAUUCUGCUAAUGAAGCUGACAAUAGUGGGGGAAGAAAAGUAGAUGCAUUCAGUUCUGAUUCCUCCCAGCAUGAGUUGUCAGAACCAGGUGUGAAACCUGAAGUUGAGGUCACCCUUGAAGCUGAUGAUGGUGAUGACAACCUACCUCCUGACAAGAAGCUGAAGAAAAUUGAGUCUGGUAGUGAAGCUGCCAAUACUGGAAGAAGAACAGAAGUGUGCAGUUCCGGUAAGAUGAAAAUUAAAGAUGGUUUUAUCUCCCAGCUUUGGUUUAUGAGAAGAUUUUAG